CAUGAGAGCAUGACAAUGACAUCAUCAUCCAUGUGAAUGUGAUUUCAUUUACAGUAAGAUGUCUUGAUCACUUGUGGACCAGAAAUCCUAAAACAGUGCACUCAUAAUCUAUUUUUCUCUUUUUACUUUUUCUUUCAUUUAAUGAUGAAAAUCCUACACUCAUAAACCGACUGCUCUAAUUUGACCAUAAGAAUAUUCCCACGUAAAUAAUAAUCACACAGUCUGUUCUGAUAGCACACAGCGCUGAACGUAUUCCCUAUCGAUGGUAACACCCGCACGUGGGCGACUACAGCACAGAGACUGAGUGUCUUUUCUGUUCAUGAGAACGAGGAAAUAAAAUGCUGUAUUUGGGGAAAUGGUUUUAGCAGACGUUAAGGAGAGAGACACGAUCCCAGGCUUCAGGGAGGGAGAAAAGAGAGAGGACAGAAGAUCAUCCUUCAGUUUGCACCCUCGCUACGAUGCGCUGCGAAAACACAGCCGAGUGGGAAGCAAGACUUAGGAGCAUUUCCCUACACGGCUCCACAACAAUCCCAUCAGCCCCUAAUCAGGCCUGGAUCAGGCCUGGACCAGAAAAGCAGCUCCAUCCUCAGCCCACCUCCAUCCACAUGCUCAGGCUAUGACGCAGCUGCAGGACAAUGGAAGGAUAUUGAAAUGCGUUGGUGUCUCCAAGAAAGUCCCCACAAUCAUCUGCCAGCUUUGGCCAUGAGUGCCAAGAUUAUGCAAACUUUCACACUCAACUGUAUACAAAAUGAAGCAGAAUCACUUGACAGGUUUUUCGUGCAGAAUUUUAUGCUCCACUUUCAAGUGUUCAGACUGUCACACAUUUCCAGGUGUGGAUUCAUUUAGGAAUUCCUUCAUACUUCCACAUUCAUGGCAUUAAAGAAAGAAAAAUGAUGCCAGGCCUGUUACUGUGUAAUCAGGACAUUGCUACAUUUCCUUCCGCGAUAAAUAAACUCUUUAAAAGUGAGAAAGCGAGAUGUUGAGCGUGUGUUUGACUACAUGCAUGUGCGUGUGUGUUUAAGGUCGGCUAGCACAUGAAAGCCUGGAAAACUCUCGAUGCCACACUUGUGCUGAAAAGACCUCGUCGUCCAAAUGCAGCACUAAUAUUCCAACAGUUCAGCAUCAUUCUGAAACACAAUUCUGGACUGCAAAGGCUUACAGUGAGGAAAGAAAAGCAACCAGACCCUUUAAUGAAGAAUGAUGGCAAGUAGGCACAGAUUCAAUGAGCUUUCCUUUACUUUUGCUGAAGUUCUGAUAAAGCUCUGCAGAGCUCCCCAAAUCUGUAAUUACUCACUCUGUACCACAGUUGAGUUAAAGGCAAAACAAUGCCCUCCUCGCUAUUAUAAAAGCCCUUGUGACAAAAGCCAAAAUGAUUGACUUUGACAUCAUGGAGAGGGAUUGCAGUCAUUUGAGGUUGAGCGAGAGAAAAUGCCUGAGUGUGUACUUUGUUUUAUGGCCUGUGCUUUCCUCUCCAAGGGGCCUGCAUUUAUUUUUGUGUCUCAAUCACAGGGCAUAAAUCACGCCUGUCUCUCGCUGUUUUGCCCUCAGCCUUUCUCUUUCUCCGUCUGUCGCUUUUGCUCCAUCUCACACUAUUAUCACUAUUCCCUUUCUUUUUUCUUUCUCUCUCUCUGUGCAUUAUCACACAAUGUGAAAAGGCAGUCCUCUCCAGCCAACGAGGGUCCUGUUUUCUGUCCUGCGGAAGAAUUAGCCCCUCAGACGUUACCACAUCCCAGGCUGCGGUGCAUACUUUCAAAGCCUAUGUUUCUCCACUUCACCCGGGCCUCAGGCCUCGUGGCCUUCCAUUCUCAGCCUCUAAUUAGAUUACCCAGAUUCUCCGUUUUGCGUCGGGCUCCACUCUGGGCAAGACCUACCUUCUCAGAGCUGUAAUAUGGAGCCUUAAAAAGAGGAAAUGACCUAAAUGGCGGUCAGAUAGGAGUCUGUUACACCCAGUUGUGUGCUGACACAACCACUUCUAUGCAGUUGCCAAUCCUCACCAGGAUUUAUGGCGCAUGGCGGUUGGUAAUGGUAUAGUCGGGCAGGGCUUUUAUGGCCAGGUCAAGGCCAGAACGGCAGGUUAGGAUGCUCAGUUGCUGACAGAGGGUGACCAUGAUACAGUAGAAUGUACUGCUGCUCCAAAUGUACAGCUACAUUAAUGUAGUCUAAGAAACAGCACUAGAUUCUUAGCCCAUAGAGACAUUCUCCAAUCAUCAGAGAAAACAGUGUCGUGACAGGCAACAGGAUCGUCCUCUGGAGUCGAUCACCUGAUAUAUCAACUGUCUAGAUUCAGUGUGCCCACUAUUGCCUCAGAUUUCUGUUCUACGCUGUUAGGAGUGGAACCCAAUAUGGUCUUCUGCUGAUAUAGCCUCAAGUUUCAACAUGUGCAUUCUGAUGCUUUUCUGCUCACCGUGGUUGUAAAGAGUGGUUAUUUGAGAUACUGUAGCCUUCCUGUGAACUCAAACCAGGCUGAUUAUUUUCCUGACCUCUUUCAUCGCUUGUUCAGUGGAUGUUUUUUGUUUUUCACACCAUUGUGUUACGAUUAACUAAAACUCUUCACCUGUAUCUGCAUGUUUUUAUGCAUUGUGCUGCUGCCACAUGAUUGGCUGAUUGGUUAACUGCAUGAAUACAUUGAGGUACAAUUGAUGGUGAGUGCAUAAUUGAGCAAUUAUUAGCCUUUUCCACAAAUUUCACAAAAACAGUUCAUUGUACACCUGUAGGACAAAAUAUUUUUUAUGUAAGAAUUAAAGGAAAUUUGAAUUUUUAAUGCAAGCAGUGGUAACAUUAAAUGAACCGUAUUUUGUUCUGUUAUUUAUUGUUUAGCAUAGGCAGUUUUUGUGUGUGUGUGUGUGUGUGUGUGUGUGUGUGUUUUUGCUAUAUAUUAGUUCAUACAUAGACCGUAUCAAUGUGUAACUAGAUGUACAUGGAUUAAUCUAAUGGUUUAGCAGGUGAUGUGUAACUGAUAUUAGAUAUAUGAUGGUUUUCUAAUGGGAUUCAAAUGUGUUAAAUUCAGGAAUAGGAGAAAUGGACAUGUGUUGCUACCACUGAUUGUGUUGGAGGAAAAGAAUAAAGGAAAUGAGCAAAUGUACAACUCACAUGAGAGUUUUAUGAUUGUGACAUUAUGACUGAGUUUAAAAACCUUCCUAAAUGUUUAUUAAGAUGCUCUAAACUAACAUUCUACAAUAGUUUAUGAAUUACAUGUAAAUCAUUCCAUGAAUCAUUAAUUAUAUAAAUGUGUUCAGGUUAUUCACAGAUAGGGACCUAGAUUUUGAAUUCUCAAGUGUCAUUCGUCAAAAGGUGCUGAUUCAUUUUCUAUAAUAUCAGCUCUAACAAUAGUUGGGCUGCAAGACACAUCACAAGUUUAUAUUAAUGUGCUUGCUUUAUCACAUGUUAUCAUUUCUGUAGUAAUUCCCAGGGACUUGUAGUGUGGGUGAUGCACAUUGUCACCUAGCAGAGACAGGUGGAUGUCUGUGCAACCACACUUUCAUUCAAAUCCAAGUCGUUAGGCUGAGUUGUAAUCAAAACAUGCAAGGGUCAUAUCAAACACACAUGCAGCAAACAGGGAAAACAAAACCAAAUCAGAUACAGGAAACAAAAUGGAGGGAGUCAAAAACCUUGAAAUAAACAUGAUACAAACAUGGAACCAAAACCUUGCAAUGAACACAUGAUUGAGAGACAUGUAAACAGACAGAAAGAUUGGAACAAGCUAGAAACAGGUGUUAGUUUUUAGGUGAGUGUGAGAGUCUUAAUGUCUGGACUGGCUUGGCUCCAAGGUGGAAUAGGAUGUGACACACAUUAUCUAAGACUGACAGUAAACAGUAAUAAAGCGUGUUGUUAUUUAACAAAAGAAAAACAUAUGAGACAAAUUUGUGGGGAAAAAAUAGAAACUGUAUGAUAUGAUGAAGUUUUCUGUGAGGGGAUGUUUACUGAACAUUUAUGGAAGGAGUCUUCUGUGUCAGCAUUUUGUAAAGGUCAGUCAUUUUUCCCAACACAUGAGAGUCUUCA
ensembl:lncRNA